UAUCAUGAGUAAAGUAUGAGAUGAGGAC
rnacentral:piRNA from 1 species